UACGGAGGGUGCAAGCGUUGUUCGGAAUUAUUGGGCGUAAAGGGUGCGUAGGCUGCGCGGUAAGUCGGGUGUGAAAUCUCGGAGCUUAACUCCGAAACUGCAUUCGAUACUGCCGUGCUUGAGGACUGGAGAGGAGAAUGGAAUUCCCGGUGUAGCGGUGAAAUGCGCAGAUAUCGGGAGGAACACCGGUGGCGAAGGCGGUUCUCUGGGCCUUACCUGACGCUGAGGAGCGAAAGCGUGGGGAGCGAACAGG
rnacentral:rRNA from 1 species